GCUGAGGGGGUUUUCAGGACAAAGGCAUCGUUGGAGUUCAGUGCCCCAGCCUUAGGCAAUACCUGGGAGGGUAGAGCUUGGUUAAUCAGGAGCCAGACAAAAAGCCCUCAGCCCCCUCCAGCCCGGCUGACCCUGCAACAGGACGAGCUCUCAGGAGGGGACUUGGAGGAACACAGCCCAUCAGAGCUAAGGGCACAGGCUUUGGAUUCUGACGGCCUUGGUUGACUCCCAUGAGUCACUAAUGCACUGUGACUAGCCAAGAUGAUUCUAGAAUUCAGGGCUGCAUUAACAGAAGUUGAGCACCCAGAACAAAGAAGGUGAGAGUCCCAUUCCCCUCUAGGCUCCCCAGACCAUCCUGGGAAUCACGUCCAGAUCUGUGCCUUCCUCCCGAAAGGGAUAGUAGCCAACGGGAAUGUAAUCAGGAAUGGCGUCCUGAUUGUACAGAACGAUAGGUAGUGAGCUGUCCACUAUGCAGUGUGCCAGGGACACAGGACAUCCUUGAAACAGGAGGAAGUCUGAGACAGAUCACCCCGCGGCCAGGGCAGGAAGGCCCAGACACAAAAUUCCAAAAAGGGUGGAGACAACACUAUCGCCUGCGGUCCCCAGGGCACUGCUGCUGUGGCUGCUCUCCAUCUCCAUGGGGAUGUGCCUUGCUGACCCUCAGUCUGGUCCAAGAACCAGGAGAGCCCAUGUCUGCAAAUAUUCCCUUAAAUAGAAGCACAGGGAUUGCUGGUGGACAUUCUUCCAGAAUGGUGACGUCAGGCCUGGCCAAUGACUGCCAGUGGAGUGGUAAGAACAGAGCAUUCCAGAUCUGGAAAACGCCCUCCUGACAGCCAGUGCAACCCAGAUGCAGGCAGCAGUCAGAGGCUGGGAGGUGGGAGUGAAGCGGGGAAGAUGUACAUCCUCACAAGUGCUACCCAUCCCCAGCCAUGUGUGCCACCUUACCGCAGCCCUGACUAACUACGUCCAGAAGAAAACCACACGUGCGGGUCUGGUGCAUGGCAGUUGCUUCCCACCAUGACCCAACUCCACCCUGAUGGUGAGAACUUGGGCACAUAUCUCAACCUCUUGGGUUCCUCCUCUGUAAAAUGCAGCCAAGGAUGCUACUCCCAAGGCCAUCGUGAGGAGGCACUGAGCUACGAUGGUCAUCGUCUCAUUUAGUGCUCAGCACCCAGACUAUCAUAGACAAAGGUCAGGGCAUGAAGCCCUGAUCCAAGUCUAGAGCCCUGCGCACCCCCCGCAUAGGAUGGAGGAAGACAAUUGUUGUCUGCUUCCCCCACAUCUCCACAAACCAGCUCUGCUGCCCUCCAGCGCCCCCGCUAGCCAGAGCGACUUUUAAAACCAGAAAUCCCCACACCGCAGACUUAUCAUUCAGCAACUUCCUGUUAUUCUGAGCAUCAAGGUCAACAUCGUCACCGUGGCCUCUGGUGGUCUGGGCCCUCUGAGCACCUGUCCAGCCUCAAAUCAUGGCACCUUCCCUUCACUUUAACACCCAAUGCUCCCGCCCACUCCAGGGCCUUUGUGUAUGCACCACCUUUUAGCUGGAACGUACUUUCCUUCACUCUGCCUGGCCAACUCCUACACAUGCAUUAGGCCCCCAUUGAACAGUUCCCUCUUGGGACAGGAGUGGGCUUUUCUAAUCCAAUAGGAUCCUACCUGGGAUUUAUGCCCUUAUACUUAACACAUGUGUAUAAGGGAGGAACUUAUUAUAUGACAGGCAUGGCUCUAAAUGUUUUACAAAUGUUAACUUAAUCCUCACAGCAAUCCUGUGGGAUGGUACUGUUAUUACCCCUAUUUUGAGGAUGCAGAGGCACAGAGGGGCUAAGUGACUUGCCCAAAGUUGCCCAGAGGUAAGAACAGGAUUCAAACCCAAGCGUGCUGGCUCCACAUCCGUGCUUAGCCAUGUUGCCUCUCCCACAUCUGUCUCCCCAAGGUCUUAUCAUUUUCACUCGCUUCAUCUGUCAUAGCCAUUAGUGUACAUGUGUGUUGAAUGUCUACUACCACCCAAGACAGCAAAGCCCAUUAGGGCAGGGCAGUGUCUGCGUGUCCAUGGCUACAGAUGCAGUGUGGAACACAUCCAAGCCCUAAAUAAAUAUCUGUACCAUGGAUGUAUGGAUGUAUGGAUGGAUGGAUGGAUGGAUGGACAAACGAACAGAUGGUUGAGAGUCAGACAGAUGAGUAACAGAUAGACAAGGCUCAGGCUGCAGCCCAGAGAGCUGGUGGGCUGGGCUCACCUGGACAGGGGUACCUCCCAGCUCCUCAUCCAGCUGAGCAGUCAGAAUGGCAGAUGCAGCGACUUCAUCCUGUGUAGACUGGGCACCCUGCCUGGAAGGGGAAGUGAGAUUCAGCACCAAGGUGCACACAGAGCCCUGAGCCUCUCCCUUGCCCUGAGUCUGAGAAACAUACAAAUCACCCCGUUACCAGUAAAGAAACAGAGAGAGAAGGGGACCCUCUCAGAGCAACAAGAGCCAGGAACCACACCAACAACACUUCCACUCUCAGCCAAGCACCUUGCCUGCUUACAAAGAUCUGAGUGCAACGCAUGAAUUUCCUUAUCCUAAAUGUGCCCCACAGGAGACUGGCUGGGUCAUUCCAUACUGAACAGCUACAGAGAAGGUGCUCUGAGACUCAAAUUUGAGAUGCAGGGAAGUGGCCAGGACAUUUCUCUGGGUGGAAAACCAGGUCACAGAACAGCAAGUGUCACGUGAGCCCAUUUAUGGGAAAAGAUGUCAACGAUUAAGCCUCCCGUGAACACGUGCAGAGAGGUCUGCACAGAUGUUCAGCAAAAGGUCCAUGGCGAUUGCCCUUAGAGGGAAGUUUUAGGGGGAUUUUGCCUUUCUAUCCCACCUCUUUGCAUAUUUCUACGUUUCCAUAACCAACAUAUGUCAUCACAUAAGCAAACAAAAUCUGACAUAUCAAUGUGUGAUGCAGCUAAUUUUUUUAAAAGUCUUCACACAAAUUUUGUACCAGGUAUUUCUAAAGGUCUGGGGUUGUCAAAUUGAGAGAUAUUCUACAAAAUAACUGACUGAUACUCUUCAAAAGUGUCAAGGUCAAGGUUAUAAAAAAAGGAAAGACAGGGAAACUGCCAUAGAUUCAGAGACUUCGGAGACAUGAUGAGUAAAUGCCAUGUGGGAUCCUGGGUUAGACCCUAGAUCAGAAAAAGAACAGUAGUGGGGACUGGGUGUGAUGGCUCACGCCUGUAAUCCCAGCACUCUGGGAGACUGAGGAAGGUGGAUCAUUUGAGGUCAGGAGUUUGAGACCAGCCUGGCCAACACGGUGAAACCCUAUCUCUACUAAAAAUACAAAAAUUAGCUGGGCAUGGUGGCGGGCACCUGUAAUCCCAGCUACUUGGGAGGCUGAGGCAGGAGAAUUGCUUGAACCUGGGAGGUAGGGGUUGCAGUGAGCAGAGAUCACGCUACUGUGCUCCAGCCUAGGUGACAGAGUGAGACUCUGUCUCUAAAAAAAAAAGAACAGUAAUGGGAAAACUGGGGAAAUUUAAGUAAAGCCUAUAGAUUAGUAACCAGUAUGUGUCAAUGUUCCUUUUCCGGCUUUGUUAAUUGUGCAAUGGUUAUGUAAGAUGUGAACAUAGGGGACUGUUCUGCCGGGUAAUGGAUAUAUGAGAACUGUCUGUACUAUUUUUGUAAGAUUUCAGCAAGUCUAAAAUUAUUUCAAAAUAAGAAGUUUAAAGAAAAAAGAAAUCUGGCCGGGCACAGUGGUUCAUGCCUGUAAUCCCAACACUUUGAGAUGCUGAGGCAGGCAGAACACUUGAGGAGUCUGAGACCAGCCUGAGCAGCAUGGCAAAACCCCAUCCAUAUUAAAGUACAAAAAGUAGCCAGGCAUGGUAGUGAGUAGUGGCAAGUAGUCCCAGCUACUUGGGAGGCUGAGGGAUGAGAAUCGCUUAAGCCCCAGAGGUGGAGGUUGCAGUGAGCAGAGAUUGUACCACUGCACUUACUGUACACAGUAAGACCCUGUCUCAAAAAAAAGAAA